rnacentral:ncRNA from 1 species
UCUACACGUUAGGGGUCCUCGAGGCAGGAUCGAGGAUUGAGGAUCAAGGAUUCAGCAGGCCCGUCCCAAAAGGGUUUUAACCGAAUCCUGAAUCCCGAUUCCUGAAUCCUGAACCGGGGUGAGAUAAACCCUAAUAACCUGAUACGGGUAAUGCCGUCGUAGGGAAGCGUGGUGCGGCACUC